UAAAUGUGCGUACGCACCAAAAAAAUCUGAUGUAUGAAUCUCUGCGUACGCAGCAUUCCACAUACAUUCUCUUUGUACAUCCCAAUCAACGCGAAAUUGAGCGCACAUGCACGAGCACCACACCACACCCUGUCUCCUCCCUCAAUUAAAUCAAUUUAAAUAUGGUAAUUAGUCCAAUUUGGCAAAAGAAACCUGCAAGAACAUGGCUAAAGCAAGCAAGAAACGAAAUUUCACUGAAAACGAAUUAGAGGUGCUACUAUCAGAGGUAGAAACAAGAAAAAAUAUUUUAUUUGGAAAUCUGUCCUCUGGAAUUAAUAACAAAAGAAAGAAAAAAGAGUGGGCGAGUUUGUCUGAUGCCGUCAACGCGGUGGGAUCUGAGAGUCGCACCGUAAAUGAACUGAAGAAGAAAUGGUCAGACAUAAAGGUGGAAGUUAAGCGGAGAACUGCUGCGCACCGACAAAGUGUGGGCAGAACAGGCGGUGGUACAGGGACCGAUGAACUUGCACCCUUUGAUCAGAGAGUUGCCUCUAUUGUAGGAGACACGUUAAUCUCUGGAAUCGUAUCCGCUGAUGUAGGAGACUCGGAUAUACUACAGGACUGCCAGCAAGGAACCGCAGGAACGUCCACUGGCACGCACUCAGAGUCCGCACCACCUGAGCAGCCAGAGCCCAUUCAGUCCAGCGUCUCCCGUGUCUCUAAUGUUCCCCCCAGUGCUGAAGCCCGUCCAUCUGGCCGUGUCUUGACGCAUGCUGUUCUGGAGUCACAACAACAAAUUGUUAGGGCCAUUGAAGAAAUGAACAGUCACCUUAAAAAUGUCACUGACGCACUCACAGAAAUAAGCCAUUCAUUAAAAGAAUUGGUCAAAAAAUGAA